AACGAACGCUGGCGGCGUGCCUAACACAUGCAAGUCGCGCGAGAAAAGGGGGGCAACCCCCUGAGUAAAGCGGCGCACGGGUGAGUAACACGUAGGUGACCUACCUCCGAGCCUGGGAUAACCUACCGAAAGGUGGGCUAAUACCGGAUAUGACCACGGGCAUCUCGGUGCCUGUGGUGAAAGGUGGCCUCUGCUUGCACGCUACUACUCAGAGAUGGGCCUGCGCGCCAUA
rnacentral:rRNA from 1 species